rnacentral:rRNA from 1 species
AUUGAACGCUGGCGGCAUGCCUUACACAUGCAAGUCGAACGGUAACAGGUCUUCGGAUGCUGACGAGUGGCGAACGGGUGAGUAAUACAUCGGAACGUGCCUAGUAGUGGGGGAUAACUACUCGAAAGAGUGGCUAAUACCGCAUGAGAUCUACGGAUGAAAGCAGGGGAUCGCAAGACCUUGUGCUACUAGAGCGGCCGAUGGCAGAUUAGGUAGUUGGUGGGAUAAAAGCUUACCAAGCCGCGGAUCUGUAGCUGGUCUGAGAGGACGAUCAGCCAGACUGGGACUGAGACACGGCCCAGACUCAUACGGGAGGCAGAAGUGGGGAAUUUUGGACAAUGGGCGCAAGCCUGAUCCAGCAAUGCCGCGUGCAGGAUGAAGGCCUUCGGGUUGUAAACUGCUUUUGUACGGAACGAAAAGCCCUGGGUUAAUACCCUGGGGUCAUGACGGUACCGUAAGAAUAAGCACCGGCUAACUACGUGCCAGCCGCCGCGGUAACAC